GAAAGGAUAGCUGCAGACAAUCCUUCAUUUUAACAUGCUUCAUUCCAGUUUCCCAAAAUUGAAGGUGAGAUUUGGGUGAUAUUUAGAGGCCGCGAUGGCACAGUGGGUUAAACGACUAAGCUGCAGAACUUGCUAACCAGUAGGUUGGUGGUUCGAAUCUGCGAGACGGGGUAAGCUCCCAUUGUUAGCCCCAGCUCUGCCAACCUAGCAGUUCGAAAACAUGCAAAUGAGGGUAGAUCAAUAGGUACUGCUUUGGCAGGAAGGUAAUGAUGCUCCAUACAGUCAUGCCAGUCUCUUUAGAAAUUGAGAUGAGCAUUACCCCCCAGAGUCGGACUCGACUAGACUUAAUGUCAAGGGGAAAACUUUACUUUUACCUUUGGGGGAUAUAUUUAUGAUCCUAGCAAUAGUACAAGGAUGGUCAACACAUAGGGCAUCUUAAUAUGGCACAGUUACAAAUCUGGAACUCUGUGUUAUGGGUUCGUAAUUGCAAUGAGAGACGCAGGCCACUAUUUUAUUUAAUUUUAGAAAUCCACAUUAUUUCAGCAACUGAUAUUGCAUUCCCCAGAAAACAAAAAAAGAUGGAGGCCAAAGGGGCCUGAGAAUCCAGCCCCGCUUCCUGAUAGAUGUAUCUGUGAAACAAUCGAUACGGAGCCUCUGCUGUCCACUCCAGAAUGCCCGCUCUUUGUAUUAAUUCUCAAUCUUGGGAAUAAAUAGGACUUGAGGUGAUGCCAUGGAAUUAGAACGGGCCCCCCUCCUUCUAACUGCACAAUGCUACUCCUUUUCGGGGUUGGCUUUCUCUCUCUCUUCCCCUCCGCCCCCCAACCUCACCCCCAACGCACUUUAAUUUAUGCCCAGUCUGUCUCCACCAGUCAUUCAAUACUGUGGAGUCUGCAGAGCCGGAGAUAGUCCUUAAUGAGAAGAGGUUCGGACUUUAUCUCUUUUAUACUCCAACCAUUAUCUUCCUCCAGUCUAUAACCAUGCGGUUCGCCCCCGACAAUAACGCUCGCAGGCAACAAAUGCUGAUGACUUUCCUAUGCAGUCUUCACAAUAAGUCUAUCAAAACAACCUCGGAAAAUUAUGGGCCCUGGUGACAGACAAAUAGAAGCUUGGCUGUGCGUGUGAAUUUACAGCUGGGAUGUUGCGUUCCUUUUAAUUCUUCCGGCUUUCCUUAUCGCUGCUGUUCCUCUUCUGCUUAGAAGAUAACAGUAAUUCUUCUCUAUGCUAUUUUUUUUUUUUUUUGCUCGGGUUCUCUCCCCCCUCUCGUUUCCCUUCCUCCGACUGAGUCGUCCAGUAUGCAUCUAUAUUCAACCUCCAGCUUCUCUGUCAAAGAUUUGCAAUUCCGCAACAAAUUGAAAAUCUCAGGAUUCCAAAGGAUGGAGCCAUGGCAGGAGGAGGCGAUGAUUUACGGUAUCAAAAAUUGCUGACAGGUCUACAGAGAUACUUGCAGGAACACCUCAGCAAGCAAGAGUCCAAAAGUGGCAGGUUAAAUCCCAGAACCUCAAUCAGUGGCUGAUACCAGAUUAGAAACGCCUUCCUAGGUACACAGAAGACUGGACAACUUGGAAGGUGUUAAACAGACUGUGCUCUGGCACCACGAGAUGCAGAGCCAACCUUAAGAAAUGGGGCUACAAAGUGGAGUCCACGACAUGCGAGAGCGGAGAAGAGCAAACCACAGAUCACUUACUACAAAGCAGCCCGAGCCUUGCCACAUGCACAAUGGAGAACUUUCUUACAGCGACACCAAAGGCACUCCAAGUGGUCAGCUUCUGGUCAAAGGAAAUUUAGUAUAAUGCCAAGUUCUAACUUUGUGGUUUUUCUAUACAUUAUAUCUGUAUUCUCAAUUCACUUCUGACACGAUAAAUAAAUAAAAACCCAAUGGGUUUCCAUGGCUGA